rfam:Triticum aestivum genome assembly, contig: Triticum_aestivum_CS42_TGACv1_scaffold_030886_1BL
GAUCUACUCCCUCCGUUCAGAAUUACUUGUCAUAAAAAUGAAUGUAUCUACAACUAAAAUACAUCUAGAUACAUUCAUUUGUUGGACGAGUAAUUCCGAACGGAGGGAGUACCUU